AAACUACGAUUAAGCGAUUCAGAUGAUGAGGCAUUUCACACAGAGGAGCCAACACACACUCACAAGCAAGAUACACUGAGCAUGUUUGAUUUGCUUUCUAUACAUAUUUAAUUAAAUCACACCCUUUUGCAGGUUUUGUACAAUUUGAAAUCACACUCGUGAUUAGACUCAUCACACGGCGCCCAGGACCCAUCUAAUAGUUACAGAGCAGCUCUUAUAUUGCAUCUAGAAUGUUUUUUUUGAUGGCCAAGGAAGCAAAUGGUUGAGCAUCUCCAUCUCAGGCUUCGACCCCAUGGACAAAAAGUCACUGGGCCACACAGACAGAGAUACAAUCACUCACACUCACACCUAUGGGCAAUUUUACAAUCUUCAUUUAACUUUAAGUGCAUGUAUUUGACAUACACAGCGGCGACAAAAAUCACCCGCCGUUAUCAUCCGGCAUCAGCGUUACUUUCUACUUCAGAUUUAAAAAAAAAGAAAAGCCCAUAAGACGCCAGAAAGCAUCUGUAAUAGCGGACUGAUUUUAUGGCACGGCGUCGCUUUACGCUGUGACACUAAAGGCUUUCAGGGAACUGCAGAUUGCUCAGACUUCAUUCCACUUCAAGGACACAGAAUUGCAGAAAUCACUUCCAUUGCACAGUGUGUUAAUGGAGGAAACUCCUGCCAAAUUAAGUGGCAAGUUGAAAAAAAAAAGACCACUCUUUUGGCUCCUAAACCCACCGACUCUUAGCUCACCAUCCUCUGAGUUCCUACCUGUUAUUCUUCACCAACUAGUCGAUGAUGAUGAUUUGCCCGUCCAUCAUGGAACUAGGUGGAACGUAACACAAUUACUGUAUUUAAAUGUUCCAUAAUCAUUUAUUCAUUACAUAUACAGUAUAUUCAAUUGGAUUGUAUCUUAGUGGAGCAGCGUGUCCCAGAGACCCCCCCUCUGCGCAUGCGUGUUCAGUCUGCUCCAAACGCAUCAAAUCCGGAGGUGACUGACAACACUGUACUGCUUCUACUCUGCAGUUCAAACCCAGUUCAACUGAUGCUUCGGGGUGGCAAAACCACAGUUUCCUCUUUUUUUUCUUUUUUUUUUUAACCACUGUACGCAACAUCAAAGUCUGCUGCAGCGUUUGCGUGCGCUCAGCAGAUUUACGCUGUAUAUGUUGCAAAGCAGGAGCUACAGUGACAUUAGGCAUCAAAGCACGAGCAAAAUCAUCUUUGCUUUUGUUUUGGUGACUGAAUAUAUAAAAAUGAAUAGUAUUGGAUGGACAUUUGUUUAAUUAAUUUUUCUGACUUAUAAACCAGCGCCAACAGGU
rnacentral:lncRNA from 1 species